rnacentral:lncRNA from 1 species
AUUGAGCAUGGACAGGAACUCGGGUGAGUCCAGGAGGAUUAUGGUGCGGAGCUCAUCCUUGGGGAGCUUGUGAGCGGUUGCUGAUGUGGCGAAAGCGAUGGCGGGUCGGGUGAGUCGGACCUGGUAGGCGAUCUCGGAGUCGGACCCGAUUGGAUUAGCGGGCGAAACGACGACGCCUAAGGCGAGGAGGGAGAAAUAGAGCACGGGAACGUGGAGGGAAGUAGGCGAGAGAAUGAACGCCACGUGGCCUUUGGAGAGAGCGGGGGCAAGGGACCGGAGGGAGACAGUGAGGGAGUGGACUUGGCCGAUGAAGUUCUCGUACGACACAUGGCGGUCGGAGGCGGCGUCAAUGAGGACGGUUGUGGUGGGCGCGACCGCAGAGGAUUGGAGGAGGGAGAGAGCGAAAUGGGUGAUGGAGAGGGGUUGGGAGAGAGGCGGAAGUGGGACCGGAGGUCGGAGAGUGUGGAAGGUCUUGGUUUGUGGACAGUAGCCGCUCUUGGGAUCGAUCCAACGGCUGGGAUUUGUUUCCUCCGCCAUGGUUGAUUAGAAUUGGAGCUCAGCCACAGCCAGCCAGUAUCAUGGUA